GACGAACGCUGGCGGCGUGCUUAACACAUGCAAGUCGAACGGAAAGGCCCUGCUUGCAGGGUACUCGAGUGGCGAACGGGUGAGUAACACGUGGGUGAUCUGCCCCGCACUUCGGGAUAAGCCUGGGAAACUGGGUCUAAUACCGGAUAGGAGCCAUUUUUAGUGUGAUGGUUGGAAAGUUUUUUCGGUGUAGGAUGAGCUCGCGGCCUAUCAGCUUGUUGGUGGGGUAAUGGCCUACCAAGGCGGCGACGGGUAGCCGGCCUGAGAGGGUGGACGGCCACAUUGGGACUGAGAUACGGCCCAGACUCCUACGGGAGGCAGCAGUGGGGAAUAUUGCACAAUGGGCGCAAGCCUGAUGCAGCGACGCCGCGUGGGGGAUGACGGCCUUCGGGUUGGAAACUCCGUUCGCUAGGGACGAAGCUUUUUGUGACGGUACCUAGAUAAGAAGCACCGGCUAACUACGUG
rnacentral:rRNA from 1 species